rnacentral:rRNA from 1 species
GGGUUCGAUUCCGGAGAGGGAGCCUGAGAAACGGCUACCACAUCCAAGGAAGGCAGCAGGCGCGCAAAUUACCCAAUCCAGACAUUGGGAGGUAGUGACGAGAAAUACUGGGGGCGCUCUAUGAGUGCCAUCCGGAAUGAACGUAACACAAAAAAUUCGAUGAGGAUCUACUGGAGGGCAAGUCUGGUGCCAGCAGCCGCGGUAAUUCCAGCUCCAGUAGUGUAUAUCAACAUUGUUGCGCUUGGAACGCUCGUAGUUGGAUUGAGGGUGUUUAAACAGGCGUGGCUCUUCGGAGCCGUGUCUGGACGCACUGCAGCUGGUCGGUUCAGCCGUCAGUGGUGGUGCGUCUGAACCCCUUGUCGCACUGGUCCUGGGUGUCGCCUUCACUGUCGAUGUCCAGGUGCCGGUGGAGUGUGCCUUGAAUAAAGCAUAGUGCUCAAAGCAGGCGUACGCUCGUGUGUUAUAGCAUGGAACGAAUAUCAAUGGCCGGGCUGCUUUGCGUGUCGGUGCAAGCUGGCGCGAAAGCAGCCGGACUCUGCUAGUGUUGGUUGGAGUAGCGGUCUCAACGGUUAACAGGGACAUCUGAGGGCACUAGUACUUUGUGGCGAGAGGUGAAAUUCUUUGACCCACAAAAGACUGACUAUUGCGAAAGCAUUUGCCAAGAAUGUUUUCAUUAAUCAAGAACGAAGGUCAGAGGAUCGAAGACGAUCAGAUACCGUCCUAGUUUUGACAGCAAACUAUGCCAGCAUAGGGUCAGUGCGGUCGCCUGCCUUUGGGGCAGGUCGAACCACGUUGGGCCUUAAGGGAAACCUAGCUUUCGGGCUGCUGGGAGAAUAUCGCUGCAAGGCUGAAAUUUAAAGAAAUUGACGGAGAGGCACCACCAGGAGUGGAGCCUGCGGCUUAAUUUGACUCAACACGGGGAAACUCACCAGGUCCAGACAUUGGCAGGAUUGACAGACUGGUAGAUCUUUCAUGAUUCAGUGAAUGGUGGUGCAUGGCCGUUCUUAGUUGGUGGAGUGAUCUGUCAGGUCUAUUCCGGUAACGAGCGAGACCACGGCCUUUAGUUAACGGUUGUCCUAUACUAAACUAGGCUAGGGCGACAGUGCUAGAGGGACUAUUGGCGUUCAAGCCAGGGGAAGCGUGGCAAUAACAGGUCUGUGAUGCCCUUCGAUGUCCUGGGCUGCACGCGCGCUACAAUGGCAGCAGCAGAGAGCAACUGGCCAGAGAUGGUCGGUGAAACUGUAAAUGGCUGUCGUGAUCGGGAUUGAGCCUUGUAAUUUUUGCUCAUGAAAGAGGAAUUCCUCGUAAGCGCUGGUCAUCAGCCAGUGUUGAAUACGUCUCUGCCUCUUGUACACACCGCCCGUCGCUACUACCGAUUGAAUUGUUUCCAAAGCUGGUUGGACCGGACUCGCCCGGCAUCUGCUGCGUGAGCUGGAAGGCCGACGAUCGAUUUGCAGCUAGCUAGGAUACCUAGCAUAAUCCAGUCAAAUUGCACGUAAUGCAAUAUCGCUCAAUAUUUACGAUCACGUCUAUGAUACAUUCUUUCAUUAAUCUAGAACGAAUGUCACAGGAUCGAUGACGAUCAGAUACCGUCCUAGUUUUGACAGCAAACU